AUAGUUAACACAGAGAACGUACAGUUGUUGGAGUACGUCGAAUUGCAUAGUCAGAUCAGCAUAAUGCACAUAAUCUGCGCAAAUGCGUAAACAGCUCCCUGUACGUCAAACUGUAUUUUACAUGACGCCGCGCGAUUACAAUAUAUGCAUGUAUCUAGAAUUGUCUUGCGGCUAAUAGACAAUUAAAUAAAGUAAAUUAACGGAUUUCAUUUAGAUAACAGAUUUUGCUUCUAAUUACUUAAAGCACUAAUUGCAUACAUUGCUCGGUAACAUUUAAACAAUACUAAUUAAUGGAAUUCAAUUUGCUUUUAGCAUUAGCUACAAAUUUUUUAAUUAUUUAUGGUCCAGUCGAUAGUGUUUCCCUUAAAUUUUAUGAAUUUAAUAUCAUUUGUGCAGAUCGUUAUCGGGCGUUGUGCAUUAAUUAAAUUAAAUAAUUUGCGAAGUUUCAUCGCGGUAUAUAAAUUACGUAAUGUACUCUGCGAAACAUAAAUACUGCAGUUAUAUAAUUAAAUUAUUGGGGAUAGAAAUUAAAUUUCCCAAUAUAAUUUAUGUACCAAUGUCGAGAUUUUGAUUAUUUUCCAUUUAAUUACUAAAAUAACGGCAAACAUUACGCAUACAGCGCUGUAGCACACUGCCAAUGGGUAUGUUAAACCGCCGUUUAAAAGGGAUUUGCAAGCUCGUGAGUAUAGCGUAAUAAUCACCGCAACCUAUCCAGGAUGUACACUGGGUCAGUUAAAUACCAUGUAGACUAAACGUUCUAAAGUAUUACUUAUUGUUACAAUUGCAGAUAAACUUUUAGCUUUUAUUAAUAUUAAUAUUAUUGUUAAUGUUCGCUUUAGAAGAAAUACUGUAAACUUCAUUCAAUUUGUUAAACAUGAAAUAUUUCCUAUCUUUUUUUCAAUAAAGUUUACAACCUAAUAAAUACACGCGUGUGCAGUGUCUCGUACAUUAUGGCCUAAGCAAGCAAUAACUUGGAGAUGGCACGAGCCUACGCGGGAAAUAACGUAUUUUCCAUAUGCUGCACAAGUCACGUAACGUAAACGUAUUUUUACCUUAACAUGGAUACGAUCAUAAAUUCACUCGUAUCUUGCAGUGGACCCUUAUGGUAAUUCAGCUUCAGCUUCAGAUUGUGCGAUUCUUAGGAAUUGAGUCAGCAGUGCUGUAGAGCAACGUGCAAAUUUUACGUCGCACAAAAGCGACAUAAAAAAGAAGAAAUAUGAAUCGCACUCGAUUGACGGCCCUGAGAGAGUGCAUAUUCAGUAAGUCAAAUCGUCGAUAUCUCCAUUCAUUUCAUAUUCUAAACGCGCGCUUUGAAAGUACCUAAAUCUUGUAGUACCCAUUAAACUGCCAGACGCAUUUAUGUCAGCUUAUUUAUCAUUUAUAGAAGAAUGCAAAAUAAACGAGAGGAUUUACUACUGCGUGUUGUUAUAAAUUGAUUCUGGAAUGGUUCCCUGCACCGGAACAGACGCUUCUCAUCGUGGUCGGGCGCGGAUAACAUAUUUCCGCAGCUGGCCUUGUUUCACGUAACCAUGUAUACUUCAUAAUUUCAUUAUACAAAAGAGAAGUACGCGCGAAAAUGGAGCAAUUUAUCAUUUAUUAUAGAACACUGUAGGAUUGCUUGAUAUCCGUAGAUCAAUUACCGGGUUGCAACUUAAUGGAUCCGUGUUGGUGGACAGUAAAAAAGUGAUAUUGCGAUCUUCCACCUUAUUUACAUUUUGUACAAUAACUUCCUUAAUAAACAAAAUCUCAAAUUGAAAACUCAAUGUUACAUUUAUUAAUGUAUUAUUUUAGUUUAGAUUCAAAAUUAUGAAAUAUUAAUAAUAUCUUGGUAAAUAUUUUGAUAAAUAUCUUGUAAAAAGACGUGUAAUUUAAAUAUUUUUAUCUACAAAGAGAAAGAUGUGCUGAUUUGGGAUUGCGUAAAAACGAAAUGAAAGAAGAAAGAAAAAGAAGUAACCGACCGGAGUUUAGCAGUCUUGAUUCAACGAAGCACGGUAGACACAAAUAAAACUGUUAUUUAUCAUUGUACAAAAUGAUAAACUUGAAAUAUACUGAUAUAAUAUGUAGCAAUCGUAGCAAUUGAGAGUUGCACGUGUGCUUUCUGUGCCAAAGAUCUGGCUUUUAUUCAGGACAAUAUCAGAUUUUUAAUUGAUCACCAUCUCUCGGAAGACAAUAGCAAACCACUGAGUGUAAUAUUUUUGCUAAUGCAGUUACGCCAUAAAGAAUGCAUAAGCAUGAAAUAAAGAUUCAAUCUUUAAUCAAGGAUUGAUUAUUUGAGAGAGAAAGAGAGAGAGAGAGAGAGAGAGAAAAUUUAUUUGAUGGUGUUAAAAUAUGACGCAACGAAAGCAUGCAAAACAUUCUUUUCCCCAGUUAUCUAUAUAUUCACAUUCGCAGAAUUGUUUAAAUAACCCUGGUAAAUAAAAAAGAUUAAAACGAGAGAAUUUGUCGUACGGAUCAUCUUUUAUUUGUUUAGAAUUGAGCUUGUAAUUCCCUAGAGAGAGAUUUUAGAUAACAAAUAUAAAUGUAUCGCAUCUUCUCUCGCGGCAAUUUUUUUUUACAAUGUUGUUGCAUUGACGCGCAUUUUAUUAUUCAUAUAUAGCGCAAAUUAGAAAAGAAUUUUCCGAGCGAAUAACGCAUUGUGUCUGAAACCGACCUCCAUCGGCGCGCGUAGAAUGUGCCGAAUAUUUCACGAUGUCAAUCGCAUAUAUCGAUAUUGGAUUUACCGGUACAAAGGAAUAUAAAUCACGAUGCGAAUGGGAAACGUCCGGAAUGGGUGCUCGACAACGAAGUUCACAGAAGUCCGAUUAUAUCGUCGCGUUGCGUACCGGCUGAGGUUUUUACGAACUCGCUGCAGCUAUCUUUUGUUCCGUGUAAAAUUUUGCUCCCCGAUAUUAGCACUAUUUUUUUUAUCGCGUCAAUUAAUCACACUCGCGUGCAAAAACGGUAAAAUAAUUCCGAGUUUUGUUUGAACGUGAUGCAAAAAAUAUAUAAAAUGUUUUGUUACAUAUAAAACAGAAGAUUUUUACUUCGAUAGAAAGGGGAAUGCAUGUGCACUGGAUGUUACACGGACACACAAUUUCGUGUUCGUGAGACUCGAGCAAUUACUUUUAGAUAGGAAUCACCGUUUGCCAAUAUGUAUUUCUGCGUCCAUGGUAAUUCAAUCCCGGAAACGUUCGAUUGCAUUGGCAUUUACCAUGUCAGAAACACGUCGACCUCAAUUCUAUCAAAACGGACAAUCGCGUCUCUUAAAAUUGCGCAUAGUGUUUUUAAUCUGGAAAAAUUCUUUAAAAUUUUUUGGAAAAACCGAUCUUUUUCCUCACCACAGUUUUUCACGUUUUUUUUUAAAGAUUAGAUAUCACUUUUAUCGUCCUUUAUACAUCAAUGAUGUGAAGAUUUCUUUUGUGCUUUAAUAAUUAAGUAAUUCAUCAUUAAAAUCUAUUAUUUUAUUAUAGUUUUAUGUAUUAAAUAUUGUUAUGUAUUAAAAAAGGAAUUUUUCUUUAAUUUUAUCUUUUUUAGAAAAGAAUACUAAUAUCUCAUUAUUAUAGCCGUUUUCCUUUUGUUUGGAAAAAACUAUGUUUUUUAAAUUUAAUUUUUUUAGAAACUUAAGAAGUCUAUUAAGAAGCAAAUUGCUCAUGGUCUGCAUAGACGAUGUUGAUUUAAAGCUAUUUCUUAUUUGCGAAUAUAUCUGAAUCAAAAUAUUAAGACCAUUCUACAGUGGCCAUUGCAGUAGUUAGAAGUAAGUAGUAAGCAAAUAGGCCAAUUACAAUCUAUUAUUUUUGAAUUGUUAGAAUAGGUCAAUUUGCUUAGUACUUAUUUCUUACAACUACUGCUACAGCCAAUAGAAUAGCAUUUAAUGUCGCAACGACGUAAAAUACGAACACAAUAAGCAAGAAGUCUAACUGUAGAGGUAUAAAAUUUAUAAUACCAAUAACAACGAGCUUAACCAGUGCAACAAUGUGAAUUAAUUUGUAUCUUUGGCGUGAUGCAAGGAAAAUUAAAGACGGUAACAACAUUGCUCAUCGGUGACGGACAGCAAGUCGAUUGGCGAGAGUUCUUUAAUGAAACUAUGUGAAAACUUCUCUCAGGAUACCUGGCGUAAUUCUGUUUAACUGUCCUGGAUAGCGAAGCGCCAUUCUAAAUGUCCUUGAAGUGAGACUUCGUUCCGACGUUAGUUACAAGAGGUUACUCAAACCGUCGAAUGCCGGGAUCGUAGAUCGUCGGGACGAGUUACUGAAGUUUACUGUGGGAUUCGGGUUGCUCGGAAUCUCGCGAGAAUCUUCCGAAUAUUCGGUUUAACACCCUGAGAGGAGGAUCGAUUGUCCAUUUGUAAUAUCGAGUGCGAGUGGAUUUACUAUUGUUCUCUAAAUUGUUCGAGAGUGAGUACUUGGCGAGCUUUCAGGGGAUUACAACCCGCGGUCGGAGGGACUCUAGAGCCUCUAGAGGGAAGCGCUUGGGGCGCGUGCACACGAUCUGACAUAUUAACACCACUGUCGACUACCUAUCAUGCAUAUUCCACUCUGUGCAAACGAAUAUUCUCCCGCUGAUCAAGUAGAUUCCAGAAUAUAUCCAUAAACCUGCGGAUCUUGGAUCUACAUAUUCGGCGUGCCCAUGUAAAUCCUCGAGUUAUCGCGAACCAACAAUUUACAUUCCCACGUCACCGUGAGGUCGCGAAGGUACCCUGUAUUUACAUGAUGAAUUAAUACCUUACUGUUCGAUACGUAUCUUGAAGUUUCUGGAUCCCAAAGUUAAAUCCGUUGUAACAACAUUCCGUUAUCCCCAAUUCGCUGUGCGAGACGCUAGACGAUUAUGCUAAUGUUUGCGAAUAACGACACGAUAUUGCAUGCAAUAUUCAGGGCAGCAUCUGUGUAAUGAAGCGGUGUGCCGAACGCGGUGCCGCACACGUCUGCGCACGAAAUCUGCAAUUUGUCAUUCUCUGUACGCAAGUACGCCGUGUUACAUCGUGCCGUCAAAGCCUUAAAGCGAUGUCGUGCUGUGCAUUACACGCAUUUUCAUUUUGGAGAUAUUAUCUCAUCUUGUUUUCAAUGUGUGUGUGUGUGUGUGUGUGUGUGUUUCCCAGAUACAUCCGUAAUCCGACGCAGCCGCGUUAAGCGACAUCGCUGUCUCGUGCAAUUUUCAUGAUUGAUGAGGAACCUACGGGGGAAAUAAGCCCACCGAAGGAGACCCCUGGCGCGACUUUCGAUCUUACGAACGAAUUAAUUUCUCGCGGGAGUAUUUUUCCUGUAGUGGAAUUCUGUAACUCGUUAUCUCGUCGUUAUGCGCUUAUAACGACAGUUGCGCAGAUAUUUUAUAUGGGGGAAAAAGCCGCGCAACUGUCGUUAUGAGUACACGACGACAAGAUAACGAGUUACAGAAUCCCGCUACAGUAGCUGCAGAGUAGAGAUUCGCUAAAGAGAAUGAUGAAACGCAUCGUUAACGUGAUGUAGCCGGUGCGAGAAUGAAAUGACAACUUCUUCACAUUUUGUUCGUCGUCGUGUUGCGACGUUGCGAUAAAUGCCUCACGCAAUAAUUCACGUGAUCAUCAUAUUAUCGAGGAAUCAUUCUGUUUAUUUGCACGUCGACUCCAUAAAUAGCAAAAUGAUCGGGAAUUACGCGCGAAGUUAAUGAUGACGAACGACGGUCUGUCAGGGUCAGAUAAAUUGUGGAAGAUAUUUGCCGAAUUCGACGUGUGCUCGGGGGCACUUCAUCGCGACUGGACAACUCGUACACGCCCAUAACGUCGAACAUUCCCCGAUAAUUAGGAGAAAAUGUAUUCCGUGGAAAUGUAUUCCGAGCAUCUCCAAUCGUAUCAUUCAGGAGUUGAAUAAUUAGUUCUCUCUCAGCAAUCUCUCUUUCUCUCUCUCUCUCUCUCAUUUCGUUUACAAACACAAACGAUUACACUGCAGAUGAGAAAUUGCAGCCUCUACGUUGCUUGAAAAAUCACGAGAUGGAAAAUCUCGUCUCGCUGCUUCCAUCCGUUUACCUGCGCCAUGAUGUUUUAUCGGCUUGAUUCUGUUUGUCUAAUACAACGUUCCGCGUUGAAUUACUUUCGCAGCAGAGAGGAUCGGCGAGGGAAAUUGAGCGAAGCAUCGGCGGAGGUAUACGCGUCUCCAUCCCGCUGUUGCAUAAUACAUGUAAAUGCAGCAUCAUCCCUUGCCCUUUCAACGGACUCGCGACAUCCGUAAUCUCGGAAGAAGCAGCACCCGCCGCGCCGCGUGUUAUAAAAUCCAACGCGAUACCAACUUACGCUCGGUGCCCGGGAUAACGUGCACCCGCGUAGCCCGCAAUGAAAAUCGCGAACGUGUGUGUCGCGCGCGAGAGAAAAAGGAAGAGAAUUCCCCCGUUGCAACUUUUCAGCUACAUAGUUUAGCGAGCUAUACCGGUAGCGCGCGCGGUAUCACAAACCCGGACUCUUAAGACGUUCCAUUUACUCUCCACGAGGAAAUCUUGUAACGCAAUCUCUCCCCCUUCGGUUUUAAUAGAAUUCAACAGAAUGGGGUUUUAACCCGAUUUUGACACGAAGAAACUUCGAUCGCGUUGAGAAACUUCAUUUACGAAGGAACAAUAUUAUCCAGGCUGGCCCCGGGGCUUUUAUAAAACAAAUUCCCCUCGUUAUCACAACAAUACUGCUACGGCCAUUAAACUGUCAUCGCGUCUACUAGAAAAUCAUGUCAACGUGUCCGAUGUACCACACGCCUCCGUAUAUCAGGUCACGUCCGCUCAACACAUCUCUCCACCGGCAGACAACCAGUCACAUGUAUGUGUAUGUGUGUGUCUGUGUGUGUGUGCGUGCGUGCGUGCGUGCGUGCGUGUGUGUGUGUGUGUGCCCCGUCCAAAUACGUUAUACAAUUCCUAGUCCAAAUGUUUCUGUAAGAACACCAUCAUAAUUUACACAACAUUUUAUUGGAUAUGUAUACAUUAUUCGAGAGUCGCAUCGUGUUUCACUAAAAAAAAAAAA
rnacentral:lncRNA from 1 species